UACAGAGGGUGCGAGCGUUGUUCGGAUUUACUGGGCGUACAGGGAGCGUAGGCGGUUGGGUAAGCCCUCCGUGAAAUCUCCGGGCCUAACCCGGAAAGUGCGGAGGGGACUGCUCGGCUAGAGGAUGGGAGAGGAGCGCGGAAUUCCCGGUGUAGCGGUGAAAUGCGUAGAGAUCGGGAGGAAGGCCGGUGGCGAAGGCGGCGCUCUGGAACAUUUCUGACGCUGAGGCUCGAAAGCGUGGGGAGCAAACAGG
rnacentral:rRNA from 1 species